rnacentral:rRNA from 1 species
UCGCACCUACCGAUUGAACGGUCCGGUGAAGUCUCGGGAUUGCGGCGAGUUCCUUUAUUGGGGCUCGGUGCGAGAACUUGCCUAAACCUUAUCGUUUAGAGGAAGGUG